rnacentral:misc_RNA from 1 species
GUCAUUAUCAACCAUCAAGCCUGGCUUGUCGUUGGGCCUUUGGUCGUGCAGACCGGUCCGAAAGAUAAUGGACGGGACCUAGUGGCCCAAAGAUGCAACGAGCUCUUUUACAGCGCGCAUCCAAUGGCUGCUAGCCCCGCCCCUAAACCCCAUUUUCUAAGGUUGACCUCGGAUCAGGUAGGAAUACCCGCUGAACUUAA